CAAUCAUCUUUGUUUUGACCUCCUUCAAGGCACUCACUUUAUCUUCUUCUGGAAUAAUUGCACUUUGGAUGGAAGAGGGCAUAACAGGUAGAAGCAUCAUAGCCAUCAUUGGAGCAAACAGAUUGAAAAGUUCUUGAAGCUGUAAUUAUUUUAAAUUUGAAUUUUUAACAAAACUAUUGAAGAUAUAAACUUCUUGAAACGU
ensembl:antisense_RNA anr-33 ncRNA